UACGUAGGGGGCUUGCGUUGUCCGGAUUUAUUGGGCGUAAAGAGCGUGUAGGCGGCCAGGUAGGUCUGCUGUGAAAACUCGAGGCUCAACCUCGAGACGUCGGCGGAAACCAUCUGGCUAGAGUCCGGAAGAGGAGAGUGGAAUUCCUGGUGUAGCGGUGAAAUGCGCAGAUAUCAGGAGGAACACCAGUGGCGAAGGCGACUACCUGGCCUGUUCUUGACGCUGAGGCGCGAAAGCUAGGGGAGCAAACGGG
rnacentral:rRNA from 1 species